rnacentral:rRNA from 1 species
CAGCCGCCGCGGUAAUACGUAGGUGGCAAGCGUUGUCCGGAAUUAUUGGGCGUAAAGGGCUCGCAGGCGGUUUCUUAAGUCUGAUGUGAAAGCCCCCGGCUCAACCGGGGGGGGUCAUUGGAAACUGGGAAACUUGAGUGCAGAAGAGGAGAGUGGAAUUCCACGUGUAGCGGUGAAAUGCGUAGAGAUGUGGAGGAACACCAGUGGCGAAGGCGACUCUCUGGUCUGUAACUGACGCUGAGGAGCGAAAGCGUGGGGAGCGAACAGGAUUAGAUACCCCGGUAGUCCCUGUCUCUUAUAA